UGAGGAAUAUUGGUCAAUGGGCGAGAGCCUGAACCAGCCAAGUCGCGUGAAGGAAGACUGCCUUAUGGGUUGUAAACUUCUUUUAUACAGGAAUAAAAAGGCUUACGUGUAGGCCAUUGCAAGUACUGUAUGAAUAAGCAUCGGCUAACUCCGUGCCAGCAGCCGCGGUAAUACGGAGGAUGCGAGCGUUAUCCGGAUUUAUUGGGUUUAAAGGGUGCGCAGGCGGGCUUUUAAGUCAGCGGUGAAAUCUGGACGCUUAACGUCCAAACUGCCGUUGAAACUGGGAGUCUUGAGUAUGGAUGAAGUAGGCGGAAUUCGUUGUGUAGCGGUGACAUGCAUAGAUAUAACGAGGAACUCCGAUUGCGUAGGCAGCUUACUAAGCCAUAACUGACGCUCAUGCACGAAAGCGUGGGGAUCAAACAGGAUUAGAUACCCUGGUAGUCCACGCCGUAAACGAUGAUUACUAGUUGUAUGCGAUAUGAUAGUAUGUGACUAAGCGAAAAGCGAUAAGUAAUCCACCUGGGGAGUACGCCGGCAACGGUGAAACUCAAAGGAAUUGACGGGGUCAUAGCUG
rnacentral:rRNA from 1 species